AGAGUUUGAUUAUGGCUCAGAGUUAACGCUGGCAGCGUGCAUAACACAUGCAAGUCGAACGGGGAUUAUUCGAUGUAGCAAUACAUUGGGAUAAUUCUAGUGGCAGACGAGUGAGUAAUACAUAAGAAAUCCACCCGAAAGUGGGGAAUAACGGGCCCGAAAGGUUCGCUAAUACCCCCAUAAUAUUGGAAAGCGGCAUCGCUUUCUUCUUAAAGGUUUUUCGCUUUCGGACGAUCUUAUGGUCUAUCAGCUAGUUGGUAGGGUAACGGCCUACCAAGGCGACGACGGAUAGCCGGCCUGAAAGGGCGACCGGCCACGGGGGCACUGAGAUACGGGCCCCACUCCUACGGGAGGCAGCAGUGGGGAAUUUUGGACAAUGGACGAAAGUCUUGAUCCAGCAACGCUGCGUGAAGGACGAAGGUUCUCGGAUUGUAAACUUCUUUUGCAGGGGAAGAAACAAAUGACGGUACCCUGUGAAUAAGCCACGGCUAACUACGUGCCAGCCGCCGC
rnacentral:rRNA from 1 species